UCGCCUACGGGAGGCAGCAGUAGGGAAUAUUGCUCAAUGGGGGAAACCCUGAAGCAGCAACGCCGCGUGGAGGAUGAAGGUUUUCGGAUUGUAAACUCCUUUUGUUAGAGAAGAUAAUGACGGUAUCUAACGAAUAAGCACCGGCUAACUCCGUGCCAGCAGCCGCGGUAAUACGGAGGGUGCAAGCGUUACUCGGAAUCACUGGGCGUAAAGAGCGCGUAGGCGGGAUAGCAAGUCAGAUGUGAAAUCCUAUAGCCUAACUACAGAACUGCAUUUGAAACUAUGAGUCUAGAGUGUGGGAGAGG
rnacentral:rRNA from 1 species